GGGCUUGCUCAGCCUCCGGGCCCCCAGCUGGGGAGCCCGGCGCGUUCCAGCCCUGCCUCGCCGGCGGCCCGGGAGCCCCUGUGGUGGAUGUGCCGCUGAGCCCUGGAGGCGGGAGGCUCCCCAUGGAGGGCAGUCGGGCGGAGGUGCGCCCGGGCCGGGCACCUUCCAGAGCACACCGACGUGCAGCAACACACAGAGGCGUGAGCCCUGGGACUCCCUGGACACGAGCUCACGAAUUCUUCCGAAAACCUCUGACGCUCCAGCUCAAACCUGGCCCAGAAACAGCCGGACCUCCUGGACCUUGAGAAACCGCGCUUCUCGCCAAGGCCUCGUGUUGAGCGUCCCGGGGAGAGCCGUGUUUUUCCCCUGAGCCCACGAGGCGAGGACAGAGAGAGCCUGGGUGCAGUGGAGAGACCCCGUGGCACCAAAGCUUCUGGAAGCCCUCUGAGCAUGGAGGCGGACAGGACCGCAGGGGGCCUGCACAGCUUUUGGGGAGCCUGCAUCAUCUCCAGGACAGUGCCCUUCAGGAGGCAGAUCUCCAAGAGCAGAGCAUGAAGAUGCCAGUGAGGGGCACGGGGGCUCAGGGUGCAACCAGGUCCCGGCCCUCAAGUGUCAGUCUGGGAGCGAGGGUGCCCCAGGGCUGGUCCCGGUGCCCAGAAGAGGGGACCCCAGCCCAGCAGAGGAGGCACGGCUUGAGGGAGACAGCGAUAUUUUUUCUAGAGACGGUGGCAGACCCAGCUUUCAACCUUGGCUCCACAGUGCUGCUGAGAUCUCCUGUGCCUCACUUUUCCCCUCCGCGUAAUGGGGAUGAUAACAGCCCUCCUCCUGGGUCCUGCGGAGACAGGAGGGGAUGGCGCACUGGGCCAGGCAGCUGCCUGGAGGCCAGGCCCACCAAAGGAUGGCUGGGCUUAUUACUAAUGAAUGAAGAUGAGUCACCCACAUGAGCCACCAGGAUCGAUCUGAUGCAAUGAAUGGACAAAUGAGAGAAAUGAAUCAAUGAAUGAACCGUUUGGUACCUGCCAGCAGAAAGGGGAAUCUGGCCCUGGGGAGGCGGGGGGGGGUCAGCCCUGAGUCAGAACCUGGCCAGAGGUCAGGUGAUGGCUUCCUACUAGGCCAGGGGCACACCCAUGACACCCCACUUAAUCACUCCCCGGUGGUAACACGCCGUGGGGUUUAGUGGGAUUCCCCUGAGUCAGCUUUCCUGCAGGCCAGACCGCCAGGCCCUGCACCUCCACGCUCCCCACCCCCACCCCCAGCCCCUCCCUGGCCUGGCAGACCCUGAAUCAGGGCCUCGGCGUGGGGGAGGGGUGAAAAUCCAGACGCAGCAAGGAGUGUCCGGGCAGGUCAGAGGCUGGCCCCACCCAGGACCAGGGGACUCCACCCCACCCAUGGCUGCAGGGCUUGGAGACCCCUGGGGAGGGACCUGCUGGUCCUCCUGCCCCCUCUCCGCUCUGGGCUGAGACUCUGGGUGCUGAGGUCCCACCUCCCAGGCAGCCCCACCUGCCACUAGAAAUAGUCUCAUAGCCAUGAAGGACGAUGGGGCCAGGCUCGGCGCCAAGGGAGGCAGAGAAUGGGGGCCACUGAUGUUCGCCUGCCCGGCGGUGGUCCGCCGUGUCCCUCAUCUCGUGCUCCCCGUGGCCCCAUUUUGCAGGGAACUGAGGCUCAGAGUGGCUGAGCAGCCCGGAGAGGGGGCUGGGAGGGGCGGAAAUGGGAGGCCUGGGCGUGGUGACCUUGGGGAUGCAAGGCUGCCUCUGGCGAUCCCCUCGGGGGAAUUCGGUGCUGGGGAUUUGAGCUGGAGUCUCAGGCUGGGGCUUUCUGGCCCUCCCGCUGGGGCCCCUUCCAGAGGGAGCCAGGUGGUUGUGCCUUUGUCCCGCUGCCCCCUACCCCCGUGGUGACCCUCCCACAAAGCAGAGGCUCCCUGGGCCGUUCAUCUGCGAAGGAAAGGGGGGCUGGGCAGAAGGCAGAGGUCACGGCCAACCUGAAGCGGGGGUUGGUGAUGACGGAGCUUCAGGCAGACUUGAACGCAGUUUCCUCUGGGGGCCAGGAGGUGGGGGAGGCCCUUCUAGAAUGCCGUGACCCUCCGGGCACCCAUGACCAUCGGCCAGUGGGCCAACCAGCCCCAGAUGGUUCUGGGAUUUUGGAGUCGGCCCAACCUCGAAGAGAUGCAGGUGCUUUCCGUGGAAGCAGCUGGGGUAGAGGAAGCAGCCCUGAGGCCUCUUUUCCCGCUGCUUCAAAGUGUGGUCACACGUGCACCCCUCGCUGCGCUGCCCGGAUGGCAAACUCGCCUGGCUCACCGACCACGACCCCCAACGCCCUUUACCCGCGGGGCACUGCUCUUAAGCACCUCACACACAGGGUCCCCAGGAAGUCCCACCACAAGGCAUGCGCAGAGGCUGCUCUUUCUCCAUCUUCCAAGAAGCCAAGGACAACCAGAGAGGUUGCGUAGCUGUGCAGUCACACAGCUCGAGGAGGUGGCAUCUGGAUCAGAAGGCCGAACUGAAGGAUUCUGGGCCCUGUUCUUUUAGCCGCACACACCUCAUCUGCCUCAAGAAAUGGCUGCUGGGAGUUCCUGCUAUGGCACAGCAGGAUCGGCAGUGUCUCUGGAGCACUGGAACACAAGUUCGAUCCCCGGCCCAGCAUAGUGGGUUCAAGACCUGGAGUUGCCCCCAGCUAAGGCGUAGGGCACAACCAGGGCUCAGUUCUGAUCCCUGGCCCGGGAACUCCCUAUGCCACCAGGUAGCAAGCAAGCAAGCAGGUAGGCAAGAAAGAAAUGUUUGCUGAAAUUACAGUUAGGGUGACCUGGUUAAAUUCAUUAGUCUGUCCGCACCAUGGACCCUCCACAUUAAAACAAUGACUUGGAAAAGCUGCUUCCUCUGAGAAAAUGCCUAUGGUGUUUGUGAAAGAAAAAAAGCAAGUUGUAAGAGUUU
ensembl:lncRNA